rnacentral:rRNA from 1 species
UACGGAGGGUGCAAGCGUUAUCCGGAAUUACUGGGUUUAAAGGGUACGUAGGCGGUUAGUUAAGUCAAUAGUGAAAGCCCGUUGCUCAACAACGGAUGUGCUGUUGAUACUGGCUGACUUGAAACAAGUUAGAGUCGGCGGAAUGGGUCAUGUAGCGGUGAAAUGCUUAGAUAUGACUUGGAACACCGAAAGCGAAGGCAGCUGACUGAGCUUAGUUUGACGCUGAGGUACGAAAGUGUGGGUAGCGAAC